rnacentral:rRNA from 1 species
GCGAAAACUUUACAAUGAUGGCAACAGCGAUAAGGGAACCUCGAGUGCCAGGUUACAAAUCUGGCUGUCGAGAUGCCUAAAAAGCAUUUCAUAGCAAGGGCCGGGCAAGACCGGUGCCAGCCGCCGCGGUAACACCGGCGGCUCGAGUGGUAACCGUUAUUAUUGGGUCUAAAGGGUCUGUAGCCGGCCGGAUAAGUCUCUUGAGAAAUCUGGCAGCUUAACUGUCAGGCUUUCAGGAGAUACUGUCUGGCUCGAGGCCGGGAGAGGUGAGAGGUACUUCAGGGGUAGGGGUGAAAUCUUGUAAUCCUUGAAGGACCACCAGUGGCGAAGGCGUCUCACCAGAACGGACCUGACGGCAAGGGACGAAAUCUAGGGGCACGAACC